UGGGGAAUCUUGCACAAUGGGCGAAAGCCUGAUGCAGCGACGCCGCGUGGGGGAUGAAGCUUUUCGGAGUGUAAACCCCUUUCGAUCCGGACAAAUGCCUCGCAAGAGGAGUGACGGUACGGAUAUAAGAAGCCCCGGCUAACUACGUGCCAGCAGCCGCGGUAAUACGUAGGGGGCCAGCGUUGUUCGGAAUUACUGGGUGCAAAGGGUUCGUAGGCGGUGUGGCAAGUUGGGAGUGAAAUCUCUGGGCUCAACCCAGAGACGGCUUCCAAAACUGCCGUGCUUGAGUGUGGGAGAGGCUCGUGGAAUUGCAGGUGUAGCGGUGAAAUGCGUAGAUAUCUGCAGGAACACCCGUGGCGAAAGCGGCGAGCUGGACCACUACUGACGCUGAAGAACGAAAGCUAGGGGAGCAAAC
rnacentral:rRNA from 1 species